UGCUUAACACAUGCAAGUCGAACGGCAGCACAGUGUGUAGCAAUACACAUGGGUGGCGAGUGGCGGACGGGUGAGUAACGCGUAGGAAUCUGCCUUGAAGAGGGGGACAACCCGAGGAAACUCGGGCUAAUACCGCAUAAUAUCGAGAGAUUAAAGCUGGGGCAACCUGGCACUUCAAGAGGAGCCUGCGUCCGAUUAGCUAGUUGGUAAGGUAAAGGCUUACCAAGGCGAUGAUCGGUAGCUGGUCUGAGAGGAUGAUCAGCCACACUGGGACUGAGACACGGCCCAGACUCCUACGGGAGGCAGCAGUGGGGAAUAUUGGACAAUGGGGGCAACCCUGAUCCAGCAAUACCGCGUGUGUGAAGAAGGCCUUCGGGUUGUAAAGCUC
rnacentral:rRNA from 1 species